rnacentral:sRNA from 1 species
CUAUGUUUUUAAUACCCCAUCUGGGACAUCGAGUGUAGAGACUCAAAUGAGGCAUGUAUCUAUUAGUUAUGACAUUCCUCCAACACCUGGUAAUACUUAUCAGAUUCCACGAACAUUUCCAGAAGGAACCUUGGGACAGACAUCAAAGCUAGACACUAUUCCAGAUAUUCCUCCACCUCGGCCACCGAAACCACAUCCAGCUCAUGACCGAUCUCCUGUGGAAACGUGUAGUAUCCCACGCACCGCCUCAGACACUGACAGUAGUUACUGUAUCCCUACAGCAGGGAUGUCGCCUUCACGUAGUAAUACCAUUUCCACUGUGGAUUUAAACAAAUUGCGAAAAGAUGCUAGUUCUCAAGACUGCUAUGAUAUUCCACGAACAUUUCCAAGUGAUAGAUCUAGUUCACUUGAAGGCUUCCAUAACCACUUUGUAAGUAUAAUUGUCCUUGGCGUCAUCAAGUGUAUUUCAUUGUCUAAAUCUUCAUAAUUAGUGCCAUGAGACUAAGUGAUAUCAUGAAAUAAAAGUACGCUGAGAUCCAUAUGAAUGAGUGUGAUUUAC